rnacentral:rRNA from 1 species
GACGAACGCUGGCGGCGUGCUUAACACAUGCAAGUCGAACGGAAAGGCCCUGCUUUUGUGGGGUGCUCGAGUGGCGAACGGGUGAGUAACACGUGAGUAACCUGCCCUUGACUUUGGGAUAACUUCAGGAAACUGGGGCUAAUACCGGAUAGGAGCUCCUGCUGCAUGGUGGGGGUUGGAAAGUUUCGGCGGUUGGGGAUGGACUCGCGGCUUAUCAGCUAGUUGGUGGGGUAGUGGCUUACCAAGGCUUUGACGGGUAGCCGGCCUGAGAGGGUGGCCGGCCACAUUGGGACUGAGAUACGGCCCAGACUCCUACGGGAGGCAGCAGUGGGGAAUAUUGCACAAUGGGCGGAAGCCUGAUGCAGCAACGCCGCGUGCGGGAUGACGGCCUUCGGGUUGUAAACCGCUUUCGCCUGUGACGAAGCGUGAGUGACGGUAAUGGGUAAAGAAGCACCGGCUAACUACGUG